rnacentral:rRNA from 1 species
UGAGGAAGUAAAAGUCGUAACAAGGUUCGCCAGUGUAGGUGACAACAAACUCUUUUAACGAAGAGGAUGUCAGUACGCCCACCUAUGGAAGCCUUGCAUUUCAGUCUAUCUCGUAUAGGCAACAUCGACAUGGUGCUGGGAUUUCGCCCUUGCCGGUGAAUAUCAGCAGCUGCUAACGCGGCUCACAGAUCAAACGUCGGUGGCCCGGUGAGGUCAUGAUUACUCUCCUGUAACUAUACUUAAGUGUCCACCUCAAUUGCCCCGGGCUCAGAUAUGACCGGCCUUGUUACGAAAGUGACAAGAACCGCCGCGUUCCGUAGGUGAACCUGCGGAAGGAUCAUUA